rnacentral:rRNA from 1 species
UACGAAGGGGACUAGCGUUGUUCGGAAUCACUGGGCGUAAAGCGCACGUAGGCGGAUAUGUCAGUCAGGGGUGAAAUCCCGGGGCUCAACCUCGGAACUGCCUUUGAUACAGCAUGUCUUGAGUCCGAUAGAGGUGGGUGGAAUUCCUAGUGUAGAGGUGAAAUUCGUAGAUAUCGGGAGGAACACCAGUGGCGAAGGCGGCGACCUGGGCCAAUAUUGACGCUGAGGUGCGAAAGCGUGGGGAGCAAACAGG